rnacentral:rRNA from 1 species
GAUGAACGCUAGCGGCAGGCCUAAUACAUGCAAGACGAACGGUAAGUUGAGUAGCAAUACUUAGCCAAGAGUGUCGUACGGGUGCGUAACACGUAUGCAACCUACCCUAUACAGGAGGAUAGCCUAGGGAAACCUGGAUUAACCCUUCAUAGUAUUAUUGGAUGGCAUCAUUUGAUAAUUAAAACUGAGGUGGUAUAGGAUGGGCAUGCGUCUGAUUAGUUAGUUGGCGGGGUAAUGGCCCACCAAGACGAUGAUCAGUAGGGGUUCUGAGAGGAAGAUCCCCCACACUGGCACUGAGAUACGGGCCAGACUCCUACGGGAGGCAGCAGUAGGGAAUAUUGGUCAAUGGAUGCAAGUCUGAACCAGCCAUGCCGCGUGCAGGAAGAAGGCCCUUCUGGGUUGUAAACUGCUUUUGCCAGGGGAUAAAAUUUCCAUGCGUGGAAAACUGAAGGUACCUGGUGAAUAAGCCACGGCUAACUACGUGCCAGCAGCCGCGGUAAUC